CCUACGGGUGGCAGCAGUGAGGAAUAUUGGUCAAUGGGCGAGAGCCUGAACCAGCCAAGUCGCGUGAGGGAGUACUGCCCUAUGGGUUGUAAACCUCUUUUGUCGGGGAGCAAAAGCCGGACGUGUCCGGCUGUGAGAGUACCCGAAGAAAAAGCAUCGGCUAACUCCGUGCCAGCAGCCGCGGUAAUACGGGGGAUGCGAGCGUUAUCCGGAUUUAUUGGGUUUAAAGGGUGCGCAGGCGGAUGUUUAAGUCAGCGGUAAAAUCGUGGGGCUCAACCCCAUCCAGCCGUUGAAACUGGGGAUCUAGAGUGUGCGAGAGGUAUGCGGAAUGCGUGGUGUAGCGGUGAAAUGCAUAGAUAUCACGCAGAACCCCGAUUGCGAAGGCAGCAUACCGGUGCACAACUGACGCUCAGGCACGAAAGCGUGGGUAUCGAACAGGAUUAGAUACCCCUGUAGUC
rnacentral:rRNA from 1 species